UCGGUGUCUGGUUCCGAUUUCUCCUGGUCUUCCCUUGUGUUUUUGGGUGUCUGAGCACACCCUGGCUGUUGGUCCCCCUACGUGCCUUGGCAGGGAGGUCGUUGUCCCUUUGGCUGCCACACCCCACGCUGGUGACAUUUUGGGGCUCAGACUCCCGUUGCACCCCCUCAAUGCCUGGGGGGGGUUUGCCUGACUUGGGACACCUCUCUCCAUCCAUGGGUGACACAGCAACACCAACAGGGGGACCAUGGCCAGAUGUCCCCUCUCUGCAGGCUGGGGAGUGUCACUGAGGGCCCCCCAGUCCCGGUGAUUCCACUGCCCAGGGUUUGUCACUGCAGGAGCUGUGCUGGUCUGGGACAGAUGCCAACGCUCCGGUGAGCAGCCACAGCCUCGGGGAGAGCGGCGGAGCCCAUGGAAUAGAGCAGGAGAAUCCCCGCGCCGGGUGUCUCCAGCAGGACCCGGAGCAGCCCGAGGCGGGGACAGGAGCCGGACAUGGCCCGAGCCAGCCCCGCCCGGCGGGGACAGGAAAGCGGCGGGAGAAGAAGCGGGGAGAGAAGGGGGAGCCAAGGGCAGCGCUGCCGGC
rnacentral:lncRNA from 1 species